rnacentral:lncRNA from 1 species
ACUUUUUAAAAACCUCUCAAACUUUUCCAAAGUGGUUGCACUAUUAUGUAUGAAGGUUCCAUUUUCUUCAUAUCUUCUCCAGUGCUUGGUGUGGUGAGGCUUUAUAAUCUGAAUUGUUUUAGUAACUGUUAAAUGGUUUCUCAUUUUGGUUGUAACCUGCACUUCCCUAAUGACUGAUGAUGUUGGACCUUGUUUCCUGUGCUUCAUUGUCAUCAUUCUUAUCUUUGGUGAAGUACCUGUUUACUAGUUUUGCCCAUCUAAAAAAUUGGGUUGUGUUACUUAUUUAUUUAUUUAUUUUUUGCUUUUGUCUUUUUAGGGCUGCACCUAUGGCACAUGAUGUUCCCAGGCUAGGGGUCAAAAUCGGAGCUGUAGCUGCCUGCCUACGCCAGGGCCACAGCAACGCCAGAUCUGAGCUGUGUCUGCAACCUACACCACAGCCCACGGCAAUGCUGGAUCCUUAACCCACUGAGCGAGGCUGGGGAUCAAACCCGCAAUCUCAUGGUUCCUAGUCAGAUUUGUUUCUGCUGCACCAUGACGGGAACUCUGGGUUGUUGUCUUUUAAUGUUGAGUUUCAAGAGCUCUCUCAUCAGAUGUAUGUUUUGGAAAGAUCUUGUCUCCGUCUGUGGCUGCUUUCAUGCAUUUAAAAAAAAAACCUUUUUUUUGUAAUUGAUUUACAAUGUUCUGUCAAUUGCUGCUGUAUAGCAGAGUGACCCCGUUAUAUAUACAUUUUUUUUCACAUUAUCCUCCAUCAUGUUCCAUCACAAGGGAUCAGAUAGAGUUCCCUGUGCUAUGCAGCAGAAUCUCAUUGUUUAUCCACUCCAAAUGCAGUAGUUUGCACCUACUAACCCCAAACUCCCAGUCCGUCCUCCUCCCUCCCCCUCGGCAACCACAAGUCUGUUCUCCAUGUCCAUGAAGUUUGUUUCUUUUCUGUAAGUGGUUCAUUUGUGCUGUAUAUUAGAUUCCAGAUAUAAGUGAUACCAUAUGGUCUUUGUCUUUCUCCUUCUGACUUACUUCACUUAGUAUCAGAGUCUAUAUAUAGUUCCAUCCAUGUUGCUGCAAAUGCCAUUAUUUUGUUCUCUUUUUUAUGGCUGAGUAGUACUCCAUUGUGUGUACAUCUUCUUAAUCCGUUUAUCUGUCAGUGGAUGUGUACAUCUUCUUAAUCCGUUUAUCUGUCAAUGGACAUUUCCAUUUCCAUGUCUUGGCUAUUGUGAAUUGUGCUACAGUUAACAUAGGGGUGCAUAUAUCUUUUUCAAUUAUAGUUUUGUUUAUAGUGAAUUGCGCCACAACGGAAACUCCAAUCAUAUGGUAGUUCUAUAUUUAGUUUUCUGAGGUGCCUCCAUACUGUUUUCCAUAGUGGUUGCACCAAUUUAUAUUCCCACCAACAGUGCAGGAGGGUUCCCUUUUCUCCCUCUCUCUCCAGUGUUUGUCAUUUGUAGUCUUUUUUUUUUUUUUCCUUUUAGGGCCACACUCACAGCAUAUGGAGGUUCCCAGGCUAGGGGUUGAAUCAGAGCUACAGCUCCUACCCUAUACCACAGCCAUAGCACGUAGGAUCUGAGCUGAGUCUGUGACCUACACCACAUCUUAUGACAAUGCUGAAUCCCUGACCCACUGAGCAAGGCCAGGGAUCGAACUGGCAUCCUUAUGGAUACUAGUUGGAUUCAUUUCCACUGCACCAUGACAGGAACUCCUUUUAUUUGUAGUUUUAUUAAUGAUAGCCAUUCUGACUAGUGUGAGGUGGUACCUCAGUGUAGUUUUGAUUUGCAUUUCCCUAAUAAUCAGUGAUGUUGAGUUUUUCAUGUGCUUGUUGGCCAUCCCUAUGUCUUCUUUGGAGAAAUGUCUGUUUAGGUCUUCUUCCCAGUUUUCAAUUGGAUUGUUUCUUUUUUUGCUUCUAAGUUGUAUGAGUUAUUUGUAUAUUUUUAGAGAUUAAGCCUUUGUCAGUUGCUUCAUUUGCAACUGUUUUCUCCCAUUUUGUAGGCUGUCCUUUGUUUGUUUGUUUCUAGCUGUGGCCUUCUCUUUUCUGCCUAGAGGUUCCUUUAGUAUUUGUUGUAAAGCUGGUUUAGCGUUACUGAAUUCUCUUAGCUUUUGCUUGUCUGUAAAGCUUUUGAUUUCUCCUUCAAAUCUAAAUGAGAGCCUUGCUGGGUAAAGUAAUCUUGGUUGGAGGUUUUUCCUUUCAUCAUGUUAAGUAUAUCAUUCCACUCCCUUCUGGGCUGCAGAAUUUCUGCUGAAAAAUCUGCUGAUAACCUGAUCGGAGUUUCCUUGUAUGUUAUUUAUUUCUUUUCCCUAACUGCUUUCAGUGUUUUCUCUUUGUCUUUAAUUUUGGUCAGUUUGAUUAAUAUGCGUCUUAGGGUGUUCCUCCUUGGGUUUAUUUUAUAUGGUAGUCAUUGCACUUCCUGGAUUUGAGUGGUUCCUUUCCAAUGUUAGGGAUGUUUUCGGCUAUUAUCUCUUCGAAUAUUUUUCUGUCCCUUUCUCUCUCAUCUCCUUCUGGCACCCAUAAUAUAGAUGUUGGUGUGUUUAACAUUGUUCCAGAGUUCUCUGAGACUCUCUUCAUUUGUUUUCAAUCUUUUUUCUCUUUUCUGUUCUGCAUCCAUAAUUUCCACUAAUCUGUCCUCCACCUCACUUAUUUGUUCUUCUGCCUCCUGUAUUCUACUGUUGGCUGCUUCUAAUGCAUUUUUUAUUUCAGUUAUUGUAUUUUGCAUCUCUUCUUAAGUUUUUUAUCUUGUAUCUCUUUGCUCAGUGUUUCCUGUAAAUUACCCAUCUUUGCCUCCAGCUUAUUUCCAAUGAUUUGCAUCAUCUUCAGCAUCAACAGUCUAAAGUCUUUUUCCUGGAGGCUGAGAAUCUCCUGAUCACUUAGCUGUUUUUCUGGGUUUUUUUCUUUCUCCCUUAUCUGAGUUACAGUUCUCUGUCUUUUCAUUUUUAUAGGUUUUUGUCAUGGUGACCUUUUUUGCAGAGUUGUAGCCUCUUACCUCUGGUAUCUGCCCCCCUUGUAGCUGAAGUUGGUACGGGGGCUGCUGUAGGUUUCCUGAUGGGAGGGACUGGUGCCUGCCCACUGGUAGGUGGGGCCGAUUCCUAUCCCUCUGGUGGGUGGGCCUUAGUCUCUAGAUGAGAUUGGAGGGCUGUGUGCCUGGGGGGUCUUUAGGCAGCCUGUUUGCUGAUGGGUGGGGCUGUGAUCCCACCUAGAUUUUUUUUUUUUUUUUUUUUUUGCUAUUUCUUUGGGCCACUCCUGUGGCAUAUGGAGGUUACCAGGCUAGGGGUCGAAUCGGAGCUGUAGCCGCUGGCCUACGCCAGAACCACAGCAACGCACGAUCCGAGCCGCGUCUGCAACCUACACCACAGCUCACGGCAACGCCAGAUCGUUAACCCACUGAGCAAGGGCAGGGACCGAACCCGAAACCUCAUGGUUCCUAGUUGGAUUCGUUAACCACUGCGCCACGACGGAACUCCUAGAUUGUUGUUUGGCCUGGGGCUUCUUGUCACUGAUGGGUAGGGCCAGAUAUUCCCAAAAUGGCCACCUUCAGAGAAAUGCAUGCUGAUGAAUAUUCCCAGAAGCUUUGCCUCCAAUGCCCUUCCCCAACAACAAGCCACAGUCACCCCCUGUUUUCUCAGAAGGUCCACCAAGAAUUGCAGUCAGGUCCAACCCAGAUAUCUAGGGAAUCUCUGCUUUGCCCUGGGACCCAGUGCACUUGAAAGUCUAUGUGCACCUUUCAAGAAUGGGGUCUCCAUUUCCCCCAGCCGCUCUCCAUUUCCCCCAGAGUUCCUGCAGACAAGCCCCACUGGCCUUCAAUGCCAGAUGCUCAGGGGGCUCUUUCUCCCAGUGCCAGAUCCCCAGGCGUGGGGACUUGAUGUGGGGCUCAGAACUCUCACUCCUGUAGGUGAGUCUCUGUGAUAUGGUUAGUUUCCAGUCUGUGGGUCUUCCCACCUGGGAGGUAUGGGGUUGCUUAUGUCAUGUAAUAGCCCUACUACUUCUUGAUGUGGCCACCUUUUUGUCUUCUGGAGUAGGAUAUCUUUUUGAAAGUUUCUAGUCCAUUUGGUUGAAGGUUGCUCAGCGUUUGGUUAUAAUUUUGUUGUUUUUAGGAGAGAGGUUGAGCUCCAGUCCUUCUAUUCUAUUCUGCCAUCUUAAUCCCAUCCCUGGUUGUCUUUUUUUUUUUUUUUUUUUUUUUAAUGGUUUCCUUUUCUGUGCAAAAGCUUGUCAGUUUGAUUAGGUCCCAUUCAUUUAUUUUUGUUUUUAUUUCUAUUGCUUUGGGAGACUGACCUGAGAAAGGCUGAUGUCAGAGAAUGCUUUGCCCAUGUUCUCUUAUAGGAGUUUUAUGGCAUCUUGUCCUAUGUUUAAGUCUUUGAGCCAUUUUGAGUUCAUUUUUGUGCACGGUGUGAGAGUGUGUUCUAUUUUCAUUGAUUUGCAUGCAGCUGUCCGGGUUUCCCAGCACUACUUGCUGAAGAGACUGUCUUUCCCAUUUUAUGUUCUUGGCUCCUUUGUUGAAGACUAAUUGAUGGUAGGUGUCUGGAUUUAUUUCUGGGUUCUCUGUUAUGUUCUUUUGGUCUGUAUGUCUGUUUUGGUACUGGUACCACACUGUCUUGAUUACUGUGGCUUGGUAAAAUUGCCUGAAGUCUGGGAGAGUUAUGCCUCCUGCUUGGUUUUUGUUCCUCAGGAUUGCUGUGGCAAUUCUAGGCCUUUUAUGGUUCUGAGUAAAUUUUUAGAUCAUUUGUUCUAGUUCUGUGAAAAAUGUCAUGUGUGAUUUGAUAGGGAUCACGUUGAAUCUGUAGAUUGCUUUGUGUAGUAUGGCCAUUUGAACAAUAUGAAUUCUUCUAAUCCAGGAACAUGGAAUAUUUUUCCAUUUCUUUGAAUCUUCUUCAUUUGCCUUGAUUAAUGUUUUAUAGUUCUCAGCAUAUAAAUCUUUCAGCUCCUUAGCCAGGUUUAUUCCUAGGUAUUUAUUUUGGGGGUUGCUUUUUAAAAGGUACUGUAUUGGAGUUCCUGUCUGUCUUCGAUGAGCAGAGAUUUAAUUUAAUGAAAUCCUGUUGGUCUUUGGAUUGUGCUAUUGCUGCUCUAAGACAUCUUAAUCUAACCCAAAAUGAUAAAGGUUUUCUCCUGCAAGAUUAAAGCUCUAGGUUUUAUAUUACAUCUGAACUAUUUUGGCUCUGUGUGUAUCUAUAUGGUCCCAUAACUUUAAGUUCUUUUUUUUUUUUUUUGCAUAUAACUAUCCUGUUGUUGAGCACCAUUAGCUGAAAAGCUAAACUUUCUCUGCUUCAGUGCCUUUGUACCUUUGUCAAAAAUCGAUUGAUCACAGCUUUGUCACUGCAGUGGCCCAAGUUCAAUCCCUGGCCCAGGAACUUUUGCAUGCCUUUGGUGCAGCAUUUGGGAGUGCUCCUUCUUCUUUAGCCUUUUC